GUAGGGAAUCUUCCACAAUGGACGCAAGUCUGAUGGAGCAACGCCGCGUGUAUGAAGAAGGUCUUCGGAUCGUAAAAUACUGUUGUCAGAGAAGAACACGUGAUAGAGUAACUGCUAUGGCGCUGACGGUAUCUGACCAGCAAGUCACGGCUAACUACGUGCCAGCAGCCGCGGUAAUACGUAGGUGGCAAGCGUUGUCCGGAUUUAUUGGGCGUAAAGGGAACGCAGGCGGUCUUUUAAGUCUGAUGUGAAAGCCUUCGGCUUAACCGGAGAAGUGCAUUGGAAACUGGAAGACUUGAGUGCAGAAGAGGAGAGUGGAACUCCAUGUGUAGCGGUGAAAUGCGUAGAUAUAUGGAAGAACACCAGUGGCGAAAGCGGCUCUCUGGUCUGUAACUGACGCUGAGGUUCGAAAGCGUGGGGAGCGAACAGGAUUAGAAACCCGAGUAGUCC
rnacentral:rRNA from 1 species